UUUGUAUAAAUAGUGUUGAAACUUUAUUUUAUGUAUUUGAUUUUAUUAAAUAUCAUACAAUAUAUUUUGAUGAAAUAGGUAUUGUGUAAAUCUAUAAAUAUUUGAAUCCAAACCAAAUAUAAUUUUUUAACUUACAUUAGCAAACAUUUGGGCAAAAAUCAUAUUGGUAAUGAGUGUUUAAAAUUAAAGCACACAUUAUCUCUGAGACUCUUCUAACAAAGAGAAACUAGAAUGAAGUCUGAAAAACAGAAUCAAGUAAGACAGCAAGUUAUAUAGUGACACUGCAUGAGUGUUAUUUAACUUGUAGUUACUAUCAAUAUAUUUAUGAGUUACAGAGCUAGUUCUCUCAAGUGUAGAGGACAAGAACUUGUGUCAGUUAUCUUUUGAAUCCAUAAAUCUUAGCUGGCGUUAGUUUCCUAUGUAAUCACCUACCUAGAAGAGUUGUAAAUUGUAUGUUAACACGUUAUCUGGUUGGCAGCAGACACUAAAGCCAAUAAGGGAAAAAUAGUAAAUGUUCUGAAAGCAGAGAAAAGCAACCAAACAUAUUGUUAUGAACUAAAAGCUUUCCCUUUAAGAUGCAUACUUGAUUGUCUUACUGGAUGAAAGAAAACUGAGGGUACAUGUACCUUACACUGUCAAGGUUGUUUAAACAUGAUAAGGUUAAUCGCCAUCUACUUCAAGUUUUAGAAAAAGAAACAAGAGGCUAAAAACAGAUGCUCUGACUUCAAUAUCUGACUAUAUCUUUGAUCUGUUUGCAGAUCAUCCAAGUGUUUUCUAGGAAUAUGUUUAUUUUAGGUUGUCUGAAACUAUGAUUUUUUAGAUUCCUGAAAGUUGUUCACAUCAAUGUGAAGACAAGUUUUAAAUGAAAAUGAGGAAUGAAAUUAUGUCUUGAAUCAUAUAUUAAGAAGUAAAAAUAAUAGUGAUCAGGCAGAAAAGAAAAAUGGAACAUCUAAAAAUGUAUGUGCUAACUACAUCAUCCAGUGUUCAGUGUCGUGUAUUUUUCUAAGCAUGACAACAUUGAUGUGCCUUUUCAGUGUAACAGCAAAUACUGUUAGUGAACAUUGUCAAUUUAUGUCGUUUUGUUAAGAGAUACGACUGGAGUGUGCAGUGUGGAAUGUCUCUAAUAAUAGUUAAUCCUGCAGUUCUAUAAUCAUAAACAAAAAUUACUUAGUUUUGUUAAGCUAAGAUUGUGUUUGUGUUAACUUGGACAUCAAGGAGCAAAGAACUUUAGAACAAAGACUCCUCAAUCUUGUGACUUUCUUAUUCUCUAGGAAAGUAACACUUCCUUUGUUUCAUGAAGCUUUUCUGUGGGGCUUAGAUUAUUUCAAGUCUGGUUUCCAACUGCAGUGCGUUUGAAGCAAACAAACUUCCAAGUCACCUAUUUGGCAUUGGUCAACUUGGCCAAGUCUGCUACUUUGGAAGAUGGCUCUGGAGGAAAUUCUCAUGUGGCUAAAAAGGCAGGCUAGUUUCUUACUUCUACAGGGGUAGAGCCUUAAAAAAGAACGUGUUACAAAUUGGUUCUCUUUGAGGGUUUCUGGUUCUCCCU
rnacentral:lncRNA from 1 species